UUUUUUUUUUUUAGUAAGUCACACGGUGGCGCUAUUUUAAGAUGGCCGCGGAAUGCGAAUGAGGACCAGGACCGCCUGGAGUGUGUUUGUUGUUGGUUGGGGCCCACCGUCUAGGCAGUGCUGGUUUUCCUUAUCCGGUCAAAUUCUCCCCCUAUCCCAUCUGUUUGCCAGUAAGUGGGGGUAUAUUCGACCGGAGGCAGAAUUCCACCAGUCGUUACUAAGCAAAAACCUUGGGUCUGACUAAGGUCGAUGCUAUGCUGCAAACAUGUCACGUGGGCUCCAUGUUGAGUUCGGCGGGUUGAUCAGUCACCAGGCUGCAAGAACGGGAGUGACAACAGCUGGCCGAUGAAAUCCCGAACUCCGUCGUCGGAUGGCACCCCACAGUCCAACUUCGAAGUCCACCACCAGCUCUUGAAGAUUUGCAGCACGGGACGGCAGCUUCCUCCGCAGGGCUUUGAGCACCUUCUAAUGGUCUUUCUUUGUCCGCCGAGUCAUCAAGACAAAGGCCAGCGGAACCUGCUUCAUCCCACCGGUGUCUCCCUUGACGGAUGCAUGAACUGAGAACAGUUGGGUGAAAGGACGUUUCACCAACUUGAAAGUUCCAUCCAAGUACCAGGUCUUGGCGCCAUCCAGCACAUGGAGUUGAUCCGGUGUAAAAAACACCACAUGGUGAGCACUACCAAGGUGAAUGUCUUUCUGGAGGAAGUGUUCGGGGAUGAAGCCUUGGUCAAUUAUAAAGUCAAUGUCUCGUGGUUCGG